rnacentral:lncRNA from 1 species
AAUUUUCGAGAAAUGAUUCCUGCCCUUGGAAUCGUCAGGCUACUCGUUAUCAUUCUGAUAGGUGUCCUUCGCUGCUCACAUUGCAGGCGGAUUUGCUGGGAUGUCCGUAGGUUACACUGUGUUCAGCUGCUUCGACAAGACCCUGCUCAAAGACCCCAGGUUCUGGAUCUCGAUCGCGGCCUAUGUAGCUUGUCUCUUAUUUGCUGUGUUUUUUAACAUCUUUCUGUCCCCAGCAAACUGACUUGCCUCUGUUAUAAGCCACUUAAUAAAAGUGUCACAUGGGAGGAAGUGGCAAACUUUGUAAAGAAACACAGAUAUCCCAGCCUAUGCUAAGAAUGUUAUUAAAAAAAAGAAAGAAGACAGGACAGCAGCUGAGCUUCCAGCGCGAAGCAAGAAGAUAAAAAGCAAAGACUGGGCCUUUCAUGCACAGAGCAUGCGUGUGUGACCCUGUGAAGGAGCCUUGAUAUCCUUGGGGGAUGUAAUUUGGAGCUUGUUUAUAGGCUCCACGAGAGCUGCACUAUCCUGAUAAUAAACAUUUUUCAUAUCUGGCUCGGACUCUUGCUUCCUGUUGCUUUGAGGCAGAGCCGUGUGCCUCAUAGGAUGGCUAAGAACUUGGCAGACUCCAAGAAAGCCUUAGGACUUGGGUCUCUGUGGACAUCUCUGCAGCUGGGAUUACACACAGGCUUGCGUGACACCAGCCUGGGGUCUCCAGUCUUUAAGGCCAGCUCCACUGAGCUCCAUUCCCCAGGUAAAACCCUUGACAACCACUUUUCAGUAGACAGAGCACAACCGUUUGUUAUUUUUGUUUUUAAAGGUUUGUUUGUUUUUUGAGACAGGG